CUGGGGGAGCUGCUCUCUGGGGUCCCUUCCAGGCCUGAGUCCUGGGUUCUAGGAGAGGGGCUUUGGGGUGGGGUGCCAGGAAGGCCCCAGGC
ensembl:miRNA mdo-mir-12400 mdo-mir-12400